rnacentral:misc_RNA from 1 species
ACCUCUCAACCCCGCCAAAGGCUUUAUUGACUUUGGUUGUUUGGGCUUGGAUCAUGGUCUCUUGUCGUUACCUUUCGGGGUUUGGACUGGACUGAAAUGCAACAAGUUGAAUGAAUUCCAUUUGCAGCUUGACCUGAUGUUGUAAACUACUCAUCGGGGAUGCAAUAAAUUCAAGGGACUUUAACAAAACACCCUUUAGUACUGUUUAGUACAU